AAAAGAGUGAAGUGGAAAUUCUUGAUUUACAGCUCUGAUGCUGCUCUACAAUCUGAUUUGUCCCAAGAUUUCAAAACUAGAAUCUGUAUAAUGCACCCUUCACUGAUAAACAUUUCUAAGUACUUUUAAGACAAACCAUAAUGAAUCCACUGGUGUUCACUACUUGCACAAAAGACACAGCACAAUAUUGGUUGAAACUGUUUAUUUUACAUCCAAUGUAUCCAUACCAGUUUCAGUUGUUAGAAGUUCUUGGAAACAAUUCCAUCAUUUUUUGCCAGACGCAGAAUGGAGUCAUCUGAUUCCCCCAUCCUACGAAUUGCUCCACAGAUGGCAUAUGUUUUGAACUGGCCAUUGACUCUGCCUGUUACCUUGUCGACCUCAGAAAUAUUUAUCUGAAUGGAAGCAUGGUCCUUAGCACCAAUUAUUCGGUUGCUGGCAGAGCAUUUCCGAGGCACGUAGAGAUCCACGAACUCGCCGGCGUCGUUCUGCAUCGUGUGCGGGUUGGGCCGGGCACGGAGUGCUAAGACCUCACACACGCACCACGGCGGAAAGGAAGGGCUGCCCGCCGGAAGCGGAAAUGAGCGCGCGGGAGGAGGAAGUACUUCCGGUGUGGCGUCAUGACGUCAGAGGCGAUGUUAGGCUCUCUCAGAGGAGGCCGGGGCUGGGCUGUGAUCUCUGCCCAGCCCCGUCCGCCGGUCCCCGGGAGCGCAAGCACCAUUCCGAAACGCGACGUUUGGUUACAAAACACGUAUCAAAACCGUUUUUAUUUCACAGCAUCUUAAACGCACAAAUUCACGGGGGGAAAAAACUAAAAGUACAUGGAACGGUCUAACCCAGAUUCUUAAAUAACACAGUAAGCCAAAAACCGUGACAGUGUAUAUGUAUACAUAUAUAUAUAUUUUACACAAGAACGUAUAGCCUCUUGUCGAGAAUCGCCUGUGCUGAGCCAGAGCAGCACCGCACUCACAGGUGCACAGCAUUCAGCCACAGCUGCCCCAGGAGGAGUGCUCUGCAGCCCGAUGAAGCUGAUUAGGGUUUGGGUCCCGCUUUAUUAAUAGGUAAUGCAGUAAUAGUCCUUUGCCACACGGUGGCAGCUUUUAGGUGAAGUGAUAAAUAUUGCCACAUAGGAAGAACUGAACGGGGCUGGAAGCCACACACUGGCAACAGAGUAAUAAACACAUAUACACGGCUACUGUAUUGCUCCAGGACUGAUCCUGCAGAGACAAC
rnacentral:lncRNA from 1 species